UCUCACUGCCUGGACUCUGGCGCGCACCAGAGGAUUUCUCCGGGGACUCCAUCCGUGAUCUCCCCGCUGGAGGACUGCCUGAAGUUACAUUGUAGAUGCUGAAAUCACUGCACCUUAAAAACAAAAAGAUUAAGCUGCACUGCAUUCCUCAGUGGUUGGCAGUUUUCCUCAACUUUGCAAGAGAGAGAGAGAUUUGCUUGGAAUGAAACCUUGCUCUCUGUACAGCCUGCUUGAGAUGCAGCAUUGAGAGAUCACUCACGAUCAGUUUGUGGCCUUCCUCUGAAGGAACCUUUCCUGUCUCUUGUGUAAGUAUUUAUACCAAACAUUUUAUACUUUUCAUUGAUAUGAGUUGUGCAUUUUGUUCAAGUUCCAUCCAAGUCAGGCCGGAGCCCUUGUGAACUUCUCUGUUGCUCCCCAUGGCCACAGGACUCAGUACUGAGUUUUUAUUCUAAUGCAGCCAUCCAGGAUUUUAAUGCAGUGUCAGCUUAUGGGACUCAGACUUAGUUCAGUGACAUUGUGUGAUUGAUUGAUCUGGAAUUUAUAUAUGGAUGACAAUAUGGAAGGUUUCUGUUAUAUUUGGGGAUAUACCUGUUGUGAUGGGCAUUACGCUGUUGUGUCUGAUUCAGAAUAAAGCAUAUAGUAUUCCAUGCUGUGCAAGCAUAAAACAAGUACAGAAAACAGUCAACUCGCAUUUCAACCUGUCCUUGCUGAAAUCUGACCGUGUGGCAUGGGACCCUUCCUUACCCAGUCCUGUGUGUUGUCCUAUCUAAUACCGACCUACUCUUCUUAUCUGGGUGGAUUAAAUAUGCUGUAUUGUCUUUGACAUCUAACGAUACUGGAAUUAAAAAUCUGUUAGUGGUGUCUUUGGAAAAAUGUUAUGUAGGGUUCUUUUUUUGCCUGGUCUCAUUCACUUGAGUUUGGCUGCUGCUAUGUAAGUUGUCAAUUCAGUGACUUUUUUUAAUUGAAGAAAAUGCUAUAUUAAUCCAGAUAAUUGUGUUUUUAAGACCUAGAACAGGAAGAAUUAAAAUUUUCAUGGUUUAAGUUUUGCUUUUUCCUUUUUGGGGGGA